AACUCUCAACAACAGAUAUCUCGGCUCUCGCAUCGAUGAAGAACGCAGCGAAAUGCAAUACUUGGUGUGAAUUGCAGAAUCUCACGAACCAUCGAGUCUUUGAACACAAGUUGCCCGCAGCCUUUUGGCCGAGGGAACAUCUUCCUGGGAAUAA